GGGGAAUUUUCCGCAAUGGGCGAAAGCCUGACGGAGCAAUACCGCGUGAGGGAGGAAGGCUCUUGGGUCGUAAACCUCUUUUCUCAGGGAAGAACACAAUGACGGUACCUGAGGAAUAAGCAUCGGCUAACUCCGUGCCAGCAGCCGCGGUAAUACGGAGGAUGCAAGCGUUAUCCGGAAUGAUUGGGCGUAAAGCGUCCGCAGGUGGCGAUGUAAGUCUGCUGUUAAAGAGUCUAGCUCAACUAGAUAAGAGCAGUGGAAACUACAUAGCUAGAGUACGUUCGGGGCAGAGGGAAUUCCUGGUGUAGCGGUGAAAUGCGUAGAGAUCAGGAAGAACACCAGUGGCGAAGGCGCUCUGCUAGGCCGUAACUGACACUGAGGGACGAAAGCUAGGGGAGCGAAUGGGAUUAGAUACCCCAGUAGUC
rnacentral:rRNA from 1 species